rnacentral:rRNA from 1 species
UACGAGGGGGCGAGCGUUGUUCGGAAUUAUUGGGCGUAAAGGGUGCGUAGGCGGUUUGGUAAGUCUGAUGUGAAAUCUAUGGGCUCAACUCAUAGUCUGCAUCGGAAACUGCCGGGCUUGAGUGUGGGAGAGGUGAGUGGAAUUCCUGGUGUAGCGGUGAAAUGCGUAGAUAUCAGGAGGAACACCUGUGGCGAAAGCGGCUCACUGGGACCACAACUGACGCUGAUGCACGAAAGCUAGGGGGAGCAAAACAGG